ACUUGGAUAAAACUUUGUAAUUCCCCCCUUUACCUUUAAUUGACAUAGACCCCA
rnacentral:tRNA from 13 species